AUAAUGCCCCUUUUCAACUCUACC
rnacentral:siRNA from 1 species